rnacentral:piRNA from 1 species
UCUGAUUCUAGGAGGUGCUGCAGCAGG